CCCUACGGGACGCAGCAGUGAGGAAUAUUGGUCAAUGGGCGCGAGCCUGAACCAGCCAAGUCGCGUGAGGGAAGACGGUCCUAUGGAUUGUAAACCUCUUUUGUCGGGGAGCAAAAGACGCCACGCGUGGCGUUCCGAGAGUACCCGAAGAAAAAGCAUCGGCUAACUCCGUGCCAGCAGCCGCGGUAAUACGGAGGAUGCGAGCGUUAUCCGGAUUUAUUGGGUUUAAAGGGUGCGUAGGCGGGACCUUAAGUCAGCGGUAAAAUUGCGGUGCUCAACGCCGUAGAGCCGUUGAAACUGGGGUU
rnacentral:rRNA from 1 species